GACGAACGCUGGCGGCGUGCCUAACACAUGCAAGUCGAACGGAAAGGCGCUGCUUUUGCGGGGUGUUCGAGUGGCGCACGGGUGUGAAACACGUGAGUAUCCCGCCCUUGACUUGGGGAUAACUUCAGGAAACUGGGGAUAAUACCGGAUAGGAGCUGCUGCUGCAGGGGGGGGGUUGGAAAGUUUCGGCGGUUGGGGAUGGACUCGGGGCUUACCAGCUUGUUGGUGGAGGAGUGGCUUACCAGGGCUUCGACGGGUAGCCGGCCUGGGAGGGUGACCGGCCUCAUGAGGACUGAGGUACGGCCCAGUCGCCAACGGUAGGCAACGGGGGAAAGUAUGGCCCAAUGAGCGGGAGCCUGUGACGACGGCGCCGCGUGCGGAAUGACGGCCUUCUGGGGAUGAACCGCUUUCGCCUGUGACGUUGCUUGAGUGACGGUAAUGGGUAAAGAAGCACCGGCUAACUACGUG
rnacentral:rRNA from 1 species